AUGCAGGCUGCCACCCUCCAAGUCCUGCUUCUCUCCAGAGAUGGGCAGAAGCACCAGCCCUUGCCUGGCACCAGCAUUCUCUUCAGGGAAUUUUGUCUGGUUCAAGAAGUCAUACCCCAGCCCAAGAGAAGCCUUGGACAUCUCUCAUAAGACAUCCAAGGGACAGAGCUCCUGGGAGACCUAGAGUGAGCUGGAGAGUGAACAACAUACCCCACUGGGAAGUAAGCAGCCCUGGAUUCUGCCUCUUGCUAACUGAUUCGUUUCGAACCCUGUUUUUCUAUCUGUAAAAGGGACUGUAACUCCCCUGCCCCUGCCUAGAUUCUCAUAUCUGGAGACUAGGGGGCUAAGACCCCUUCUAGAGAUAAAAAUAAAAGUCUUGAAGAGAAAGACCAA
rnacentral:antisense_RNA from 1 species